rnacentral:rRNA from 1 species
AUGAGGGAGAUGUUCGCAUCACCCAUGUUCAGAGACAUCGUAGCAGGCUCACCGUCCAGCAUCGUUCCACAUUUCAGGCAGUGUGUCCAUCCGAGGAUCCCCCAACUAGCUAUCAUCGGCUACUGCGAGAACGUGUCAAACCUGCACGCCUUCGAGCUACAGUCGAUAUGGUUGGCGCACUUCCUUGGUGGGACCUUCCAUUUUCCUAACAUAAGAUGUAUGGAGGAGUUGAUAGACGAGUGGGAUAAGUACUUGAAACGGUACGCUUCCGGCCACUACCGUCGGUCAUGUGUUGCACCAGUCCACAUCGUGUGCAACGAUCAGUUGUGUUAA